rnacentral:rRNA from 1 species
AACGAACGCUGGCGGCAGGCCUAAACAUGCAAGUCGAGCGGGCAUAGCAAUAUGUCAGCGGCGGACGGGUGAAUAACACGUGGGAACAUGCCCUUUGGUACGGAACAACUCAGGGGAAACUUGAGCUAAUACCGUAUGUGCCGGUAACGGGAAGAUUUAUCGCCAAAGGAUUGGCCCGCGUCCGAUUAGCUAGUUGGUGAGGUAACGGCUCACCAAGGCGACGAUCGGUAGCUGGUUUGAGAGAACGAUCAGCCACACUGGGGACUGAGACACGGCCCAGACUCCUACGGGAGGCAGCAGUUGGGAAUCUUGGGAC